AUUGGAGGGCAAGUCUGGUGCCAGCAGCCGCGGUAAUUCCAGCUCCAAUAGCGUAUAUUAAAGUUGUUGCAGUUAAAAAGCUCGUAGUUGAUUUUCUGUUAAUUUUUAUGUAUAAUAUUGCGAUAUUUACAUAAUAUUAACAUAAUUCACAUUACUUUACAGUAUGUGGAAUUUUACUUUGAGAAAAUUAGAGUGCUUAAAGCAGGCUAUUGCCUUGAAUACUCCAGCAUGGAAUAAUAUUAAGGAUUUUUAUUCUUCUUAUUGGUUCUAGAAUAAAAAUAAUGAUUAAUAGGAACAGUUGGGGGCAUUUGUAUUUAACAGUUAGAGGUGAAAUUCUUAGAUUUGUUAAAGACAAACUACUGCGAAAGCAUUUGCCAAGGAUGUUUUCAUUAAUCAAGAACGAAAGUUAGGGGAUCGAAGACGAUCAGAUACCGUCGUAGUCUUAACCAUAAACUAUGCCAACUAGAGAUUGGAGGUUGUUCCUUACUCCUUCAGCACCUUAA
rnacentral:rRNA from 1 species